rnacentral:rRNA from 1 species
CGCGUAGGCGGCCUGCUAAGUCGGACGUGAAAUCCCUCGGCUCAACCGAGGAACUGCGUCCGAUACUGGUGGGCUUGAAUCCGGGAGAGGGAUGUGGAAUUCCAGGUGUAGCGGUGAGAUGCGUAGAUAUCUGGAGGAACACCGGUGGCGAAGGCGGCAUCCUGGACCGGUAUUGACGCUGAGGCGCGAAAGCUAGGGGAGCAAACG